CGGGGGAGGCUGGAUCCUGGGCUGUGUCCCGGCGCCCUGUGCUCCGGAGCCUGCGCUGUUGGAUUCACGCUCCCGCCCCGCAGCCCCCU
rnacentral:pre_miRNA from 1 species